AAGCCCUGCCCCGGUAAAGCCCAGCAAGCAGCCGGUACACAGCCUUGAAGCCAAAGCCGCGAGGUGAGGUUUAAGCGUAGGCAGUGGAGUGCGAGAACCGCAAUGCGAAAGCGUGAAGCGAUUCAGCCCCGUAAGUAAUAUAGUGCGGAAGUCGAUGUGUUUCCUUUCACAGCAGACAGCAAGAAGCGACCGCUAAGCGAGGUCGUGGAGAUUCCGUCGGGGUCCAAGAGC
rnacentral:ncRNA from 1 species